GACAGAGGGUGCAAACGUUGUUCGGAAUUACUGGGCGUAGAGCGCGUGUAGGCGGCUAUGUAAGUCGGGCGUGAAAUCCCACGGCUCAACCGUGGAAGUGCACUCGAAACUGCAUAGCUAGAGUCCUGGAGAGGAAGGUGGAAUGCUUGGUGUAGAGGUGAAAUGCGCAGAUAUCAGGAGGAACACCAAUUGCGAAGGCAGCUCGCUGGGACGUUACUGACGCUGAGACGCGAAAGCGUGGGGAGCAAACAGG
rnacentral:rRNA from 1 species